rnacentral:rRNA from 1 species
AUUGAACGCUGGCGGCAGGCCUAACACAUGCAAGUCGAGCGGAUGAAGGGAGCUUGCUCCUGGAUUCAGCGGCGGACGGGUGAGUAAUGCCUAGGAAUCUGCCUGGUAGUGGGGGAUAACGUCCGGAAACGGGCGCUAAUACCGCAUACGUCCUGAGGGAGAAAGUGGGGGAUCUUCGGACCUCACGCUAUCAGAUGAGCCUAGGUCGGAUUAGCUAGUUGGUGGGGUAAAGGCCUACCAAGGCGACGAUCCGUAACUGGUCUGAGAGGAUGAUCAGUCACACUGGAAAUGAGACAGGGUAAAAAAACCUACAGGAGGCAGAAGUGGGGAAUAUUGGAAAAUGGGCGAAAGAAUGAUCCAGCCAUGCAGCAUGUGUGAAGAAGGUCUUAGGAUUGUAAAGCACUUUAAGGUGGGAGGAAGGGCAGUAAGUAAAUAACUUGCUGUUUUGACGUUACCAUCAGAAUAAGCACAGGCUAACUUCGUG